rnacentral:rRNA from 1 species
UACGUAGGGGGCAAGCGUUAUCCGGAUUUACUGGGUGUAAAGGGAGCGUAGACGGCAGUGCAAGUCUGGAGUGAAAGGCGGGGGCUCAACCCCCGGACUGCUCUGGAAACUGUACGGCUGGAGUGCAGGAGAGGUAAGUGGAAUUCCUAGUGUAGCGGUGAAAUGCGUAGAUAUUAGGAGGAACAUCAGUGGCGAAGGCGGCUUACUGGACUGUAACUGACGUUGAGGCUCGAAAGCGUGGGGAGCAAACAGG